UACGGAGGGUGCAAGCGUUAUCCGGAUUCACUGGGUUUAAAGGGUGCGUAGGCGGGUAGGUAAGUCAGUGGUGAAAUCUCCGAGCUUAACUCGGAAACUGCCUUUGAUACUAUUUAUCUUGAAUAUUGUGGAGGUAAGCGGAAUAUGUCAUGUAGCGGUGAAAUGCUUAGAUAUGACAUAGAACACCUAUUGCGAAGGCAGCUUACUACGCAUAUAUUGACGCUGAGGCACGAAAGCGUGGGGAUCAAACAGG
rnacentral:rRNA from 1 species